UCGAUGUAACCCUAAUCCGAUUAGAUUAGGUUAUCUAAAGAGUCCCAAUCAAUUAGGACUCUUCUUAAUUGAUUUUUGAAUUAAACUCUUUUAAUUCUGAUGAGUCUACAAGUCUAGAUUGAUGUCUAGCAACAUAUCAUGACUAUCUAAAAGAUUUAAAAUUUUGAUAAAAAAUUAUCAAAAUACCCUUCAAAGGCAAGUUGUCGUGUAAUUCAAUCCUUC
rnacentral:lncRNA from 1 species